GAGAGAAAAGUUAGAAAUUUAGAUAGAGAAGAUCAAAGGAUACAUAAGGAGAUUCAGGCAUUAGAUAAGAAAAUUGUUCUUGUUGCUGGGGAUGGUUAUAGUCUAUCUGUGACUGGAAAUGUAGUAUAUCAGAGUGAUACUAGCAACAGCAGUUUACAGGGGAAUCUGCAACGUAUUUUUGAGGCCAUGGAGAAGUUCAUGGCUGAGUUAACAAAAGCUUAUGAGGAGCUGAUUCAGCGUAGUGAAGAAGAGAGGCUUGCUUGAGAGCACAAGAGAGUUUCAUAGGGCAGCAGUAUGGUGCAAUUGAAAUACAUCAUCUUUUUUGCACUUAUGACUUCACUUGUGAGAAAUUGAAGUGCAGGAUCUGACAGAACUAAUGAUACGGAGUUAAAAUGUUCCCUUCUGUGGUAAGUGGAGCACUCCUUGUUUGAGGUCUUCAAUUGAGGGUAGACUUCAUCAUGUGGUGGAUGAUGGUGGAUCUUGGCGCAGUGGCAACCCGUAUUACUGGCUUAGAUGUUGACAGAUCGAAUUGUGAGGGGGAUGAGAUGAUUUCAUUUCUCUUCCACCAGCAUUGGCUUUAAUCAUAUUGAUCCAACAAUUAUGAUUGAAUGACAAUAGGGAAUUGAUAAAAAGGGGCAAUGGACACAAGGUUAUGCCAAACUCAAAACCAUAUUUGGCCAUUGCGUAUGUUUUGCAAAAUGGAUGCCGGCUAGCUAAUAGGAUGUCAAUUGAUGUUGAUGACAUGUGGUGCUUGUUAAUGCAAUAUUGGCCAUUGAUUUGCAAUCAAGCCCCAUGCUUCGUGGAAGUAAGCAAGGCGGGAAUAAACUUGAUAAAUUGAAGAAAGCAGAUUUCCCCACAAUUUUGAUGAGUAUGCAUUCAGUUGUAGGUACAAGGGCUGUCUGGAAUGACGCAAGUCAGAGAAAUGCUCAGAUAUCAAAGUAACAUGGUUAAAGUUUUUUGCUUCCUUUUUUUUUUUUCAAAUAUUUGUUCAUAUUAAUCAUUGUACAGGCCUUUUCAAUGAAAAGACUUCCAAUAAAUGAGUAUUAAUGAAAAUGUGCCAAAGGUUUUA
rnacentral:misc_RNA from 1 species